rnacentral:lncRNA from 1 species
AUAUCACUCUAUAAUUUUUUCUCUCCUAGAGAAGCUUCCUACUGUCUCUACCCACAUAUACUCUGUAUACAUCUACGUUCCAGGAUCCAGACCUGUUCCUGAGCUCUCCUCCCUCCUCCCCCAAAAUGACUCACCCGUCUUCUAUGCCCUGUUCCCUAGAGAUCUUGUUUUCUCAAGUCUCCAGUGACAGCUGAUGGGCCAUGAAAUUCUCCAGAAGCGAGGUGCUAAUGAGUAAUAAUGGCGUAUUUUGUUUCCCUCUCAAGAAUGAGCAAUUGGGAGGAAAAUUUCCAGAGAGUUUAUUUCCUGGCGGAGAUUGGUGAAAUGUUUGGGAAAACGUGGAUUUCUCUGUGAGGGUCCUCAGCUGACCUCCAAAAACUGUAAACUCCUUCUGCGAAGAUUCCACUUUCUGAACGGUGCUGAGCCCAAUGCUGGGACUGCCUAUUGGCAGAUCCAAAUGGAGAACACAGGUUUUAGCCUCACAAAUCCGAAUAUGGGGAUCAAUCGGGAUUCAUGAUCCAAGUAAUGUUUUAGGUGUUGAGGUCCAAGACACCCAGGAGAGCAAGCAGCUUAAGGGAAGUCUAAAUGGCAGAGAGGAAGCUAACUCUUCACCACCUUGGCUUUCCCUGCUCAAGGGACUUUGGGGCAGUAACUGAGAAGCGCGAUGAAGAAUAAAUUUGGAAUUAUAGCCAGUUCCUUAACACUAUCUUGUUUGAUGGACUCUCUCCCCUUAACCGCUUUAUCAAAUGCUUCACCAAUGUUCUCAAAGGGCGCCAUGAUUUAUCACAGCUCAACCAACAUAUCCAAAUGGGAUGUUCCAGUGGUUGUAUAAAUUAAAGUUCCUUCGGAAUUCUAGAUCAACUGAAAUAGACUAAGAUUGCCUUUUCUAUAAGAUUGUGGCUCUACACAAUCGAAUCUCCACGAGCAACUUAU